GUAGUAUGUAUGUAUACACAAGGCUCAGUAUCGAGUAUAGCUUUGCUCUCCAAGAUGUGAUACUUUCAGGAAACAGAAAAUAAAGCAUCUAUCUUCUAGAGCUAUUUAGAGGAGAGGAGAAGAAGCGACUCACCUAUCAGUUAGUAGGUAUGGUAAGGGCAUACCUAGACGAAGACGGGUACGGGGAAGGCAACUUCGAUUCCGGAGAGGGCGCAUUUAGAGAUGGCGACCAGUUCUAAGGAGUGCAGCAGGCUCGAAACUUACCGAAUUAUAGAUUAGAGGUAGUGAUGAAACGUUUAUAUAAAGAUACUGGUAAAGCAAGUAUUAGUAACUGGAGGGUAAGUCUGGUGCCAGCAGCCGCGGUAAUACCAGCUCCAGGAGCUUCUUCGAUAUGUUGCGGUUAAAAUGUCCGUAGUCGCGGCUUGGGACUGACCUGUAAUCUAUUUGGUCAACAGAUAGAUAGGGGCAGUAGCAAGCUGGAAAAGAGCAAUUUGGUGUCAGCUAAUGGUAUGGGGAGGGGUGAAGUCUGAGGAUCCAUGCAGGAGGAGCAAAGGCGAAAGCACUGACAAAGAUUGAUUCUGUUGAUCAAGGACAGAGGCUAGAGGAUCGAAUACGAUUAGAUACCGUAGUAGUUCUAGCAGUGACCGAUGAUGAUUUUGCUUAUGGCAAUAGAGAAAUCAAAAUAGAUCUCCGGGGGGAGUACAUGCGCAAGCAAGAAACUUAAAGAAAUUGACGGAAGACUACCACAAGGUGUGGAUUGUUCGGCUUAAUUUGACUCAACGCGGGAAAACUUACCAAGCUUAUUUGUUCAACGAGUAUUUAUACGAGAGCAAAAUGGUGGUGCAUGGCCGUUCCUAACAGAUGGAGUGAUUUUGUGAUUAACUUCCGUAAUCUGUGUAAUCUCAGAAUAGCUUGUUUGAAAGAACAAUUCGAGGCAAGAACAGGUCAGUGAUGUCCUUUGAUAGCUUGGGCUGCACGCGCAAUACAAUGUUUUAUGUAAUAAGAUAUAGAUAAAAAAUAGAACAUGAGGGAUUGAGGGCUGAAAAGCACUCAUGAACACGGAAUAGCUAGUAAUCGUCUGUUCAAUAUACGGCGAUGAAUAUGUCCCUGUUCUUUGUACACACCGCCCGUCGUUAUCGAAGAUGGAGUGAUUU
rnacentral:rRNA from 1 species